UGUAGUCAGUGACGUAUCCAACCCAAAAGGGCGCAGUCGUCGUAUUCCGUGAAUAAAGAAAUAACGAGUUCGGGCUUUUAAACAUCUCUGUUUGUGCGUGCGGCAUAUGAGGUGUAUUCUGCGCAUAGACUGUGGUUCUACGACUCUAAAAGAUUAUGAUCGUUUCCUAAAUGUUACAUAUCAUAUAAUAAGUGGAAGUGGAAGAGGAAGAGGAAAUUGUGAGACAAGUUAGGAAGAAGAUAAUGCCCAACAAACUGCAGUUCAAUCAUCAGAAGAACAAGAAGAGGAAGAACAAAAAGGAGUCUCAAACUAAAGGGUCAAGAGAUACAAACACAGUGAAACCUGUGAGAUGCAACAGCAUGGAGCGUCUUUCACCCACGUUGUCUGGUGAUCAAGCUGUAGAGUCUCAUUCUAAUGAAUCAGAGAAGGUCCAGGAUGAGAGAACACCAGGACCUUAAACUCCAGAAUGUGAUGGGGGUUCAUUCACCAUCCUGGAUAACUUUCCUCAGUUGUCCAGGAUAUUCAGACCGUCCUCCAUGGCUGCGCAUUUGGAGCUGCAUUUGUGUUCCUCUAGCAAACAUACU